AGGGCACCACCUGGAGUGGAGCCUGCGGCUUAAUUUGACUCAACACGGGAAAACUCACCCGGCCCGGACACCGUAAGGAUUGACAGACUGAGAGCUCUUUCUCAAUUCGGUGGGUGGUGGUGCAUGGCCGUUCUUAGUUGGUGGAGCGAUUUGUCUGGUUAAUUCCGAUAACGAACGAGACUCUGGCCUAUUAAAUAGACGAUAUAUCUAUCUAGUAUAUCGCGCUUCUUAGAGGGACAAGCGGCGUCCAGCCGCAUGAAAUAGAGCAAUAACAGGUCUGUGAUGCCCUUAGAUGUCCGGGGCUGCACGCGCGCUACACUGAAAGAAUCAGCGUGCGUUUUACCUAGUUCGGAAGAACCGGGUAACCCAGGUAAAUUCUUUCGUGCUUGGGAUAGGGAAUUGCAAUUAUUUCCCUUGAACGAGGAAUUCCCAGUAAAUGCGGGUCAUAAGCUCGCGUUGAUUACGUCCCUGCCCUUUGUACACACCGCCCGUCGCUACUACCGAUUGGAUGACUUAGUG
rnacentral:rRNA from 1 species